rnacentral:rRNA from 1 species
CCCUAAAAGCUUUAUUUUAAAUAUAUUUUAAAAAUUAAUUAUAAGUAGUAAAUUAAAUAUAAAAAUUAACUGGGGUAGUUGUUUCAAAAAAAUUGAAAUUUUUUUACAGUUUUAAAUAAAUGGUUUAAGUUCUUUUAGAUAAGGAAAAUUAGUGUUAGUUACUUUAGGGAUAACAGCGUUAUAUUUUUGGAGAGAUCUUAUCUAUAAAAAUGAUUGCGACCUCGAUGUUGAAUUAAAAUUACUUUAUAAAGUAGAAU